GGGCAGCAGGCGCGCAAAUUGCCCAAUGUCAAAAAAAAACGAUGAGGCAGCGAAAAGAAAUAGAGCCGACAGUGCAUUUUGUAUUGUCGUUUUCAAUGGGGGAUAUUUAAACCCAUCCAAAAUCGAGUAACAAUUGGAGGACAAGUCUGGUGCCAGCACCCGCGGUAAUUCCAGCUCCAAAAGCGUAUAUUAAUGCU
rnacentral:rRNA from 1 species